rnacentral:rRNA from 1 species
AAACCGAUAGGAUGGAAGCAGAUGAAGUUGACGAACGAGUGUCGUAUUCAGGGUUGCAUCUUGUGUGCGGUCUGUUCUUGCGACCGAUGUGGGCUGGCGGCUUUGGUCAAUGCACUGUGUCAAGUUUCGAUGGAGACCCUGCGGAGGGAUAAUCGGUCGUUGCACGAUACGUGGUAUGGCUAAGGCUUAUCGCCGGUCUUGAAGUCAGCGCCUCAUCUGACCCGUCUUGAAACACGGACCAAGGAGUGUAGCGUUUGCGCAAGUCUUAGAGUGUGUCAAAACUUUGAGGCGUAACGAAAGUAAAUGUAGCUUCGAUCUACUGACUUGGGAUACGUUGUCUCGUGUGGACGGCGUUGGACCAUGGUUUUAUCGCGAUCGCUUGCGAUGCGGUGAAAAUAGAGCGUAAACGGUGCGACCCGAAAGAUGGUGAACUAUGCCUGAGCAGGAUGAAGCCGGAGGAAACUCUGGUGGAAGUCCGAAGCGGUUCUGACGUGCAAAUCGAUCGUCUGACUUGGGUAUAGGGGCGAAAGACUAAUCGAACCAUCUAG